ACAGCCACAUCUUUUUGAAGACACUAGUUCCUGUAUGAUCACUGAAAUUAAGCAACAUCGUGUCUUAUCAGUACCUAGAUGGGUGACUGCUUGUGAAUACCAGGUGCUGUAAG